AAAUUGGGUUUUUUUGGUUUUGGCUGGCGGGUGCUGCUGUCUCGUGGACGCCAUCAGGCUGCGUUAGACUCGACUGGACUGUGAAGCCGUUGUCCAGGUCUGUCAUCUUAGUCCUCUUCCUGAAGAAAAGAAGCUUUCGGUGCUGCAAGUUGAUUGAAUAAAAUUAAGAACAUGGAAUAUUAUAUGGAUGCAGUUCCUUGAGCACCGUUUCUUCCAAAGUAUGUUUUCUGCAGAUUGUUGGCCUGAAUGAUUGAUAAGCAGCAUACACAAGACUAAUAUCAAGAAAACAUUGUCUGUUGCUGCUGUGUUUGACAAAACCAGUGCAGAGUCACAUCUUCUGAAAUGCAGUUGAAAAAAAUGAGGGAAAUUUUACCAAGAUUGUACCCUGACCAAGUUAAUGAUAAAAAUAAUUCCUUAACUACAUCCCCAAAGCAAUCUUCUGAGGAUAAAACAAAUCCAUCAAAAGGGGAUGAUGACCAAAACUGCUGUUACCAAGGGACUGAGGCUGAGAAUAAUAAGUUGUCACUGAUAGACUGUAUAAAAUGCAGAAAUGUUCAGAAAAUUUCAAUGCAAGAUAUAGAAAAGCAUAAGAAGCUUGGGUGGACUGAAGACAAAAAUUUCAUCUGCAAGAAGUGCAGUCAUGUUACGCCACCAGCUUUCCAUUUUGUUCCUGAUGGUGCCAAUGCUGUAGGCUUCGAAAAACCUGAAAAAAAAUCCCCAAGUAAAAUCCAGAAAACAUUUAAAGUUAAAAACUUUCUGCCGGGUAAAUAUUACUGUGAUAAAUGUAGAUUUUCAACAAAGGAUCCUUUGCAGUAUAAAAAGCAUGUAGGUCAACAUGAAGAAAUUAAAUUUAUUUGUUCCCACUGUAGUUAUAUAUCCUACACCAAAGGAGAAUUCCAGAGGCAUUUGGUGAAACACACUGGGACUUUUCCAUAUCAGUGUGAAUACUGUGAAUAUGGUGCUGUUAGACAUGACUAUAUAGUAAAACACACAAGAAGAGUACAUGAAAUGCCUGCAAAACGGCUGUCAAAUACUGUCAUAAAUCACAAGCAAAAGAAGCCGAGUCAAAGCACUUUAUUUGAAAAGCAGAAAUACGAUAGAAUUCCCUUUCAGAAUGAACUUUCAAAUUUGUCUUCAAAUAUGUUUUGUGAGAUUCCAGAUAAGGUAACUAAAACAAUCUGUUUGUCUCAUGAUGUGGAAUGUAGUGUGAACACAGCAUCAGUCCAGGAUAAAACAAUAUUGGAGCCAUCUGAAAUAAGUGUGUGUGAGAAUCAAAGUGUUGAAGUUGAGCUUUAUUCUCCAAAAAUGGAGCCUUUACAACCUGGGGUGCCUUUAACAGUAAUUGCACCGUCUGAGCUUGUAGUUCCUUCUAACUGUUUAGCUCAGAUAGUAGAGAUUAAAAUAGUGAAUGGAGCACAACAGCUGGUUCUUAAACUAAUUCCUAUGAAAGAAGCAACUUACAAACCUGUGAACAGUACUGAAGAGGAACCUGAGAAUCAAGGUAUAGGACGAUCUGCAGAAGGAAAAAAACCAUCUUCUGUAUCUCAAAAUGAGUUACUAACCAUGGAACUGAAUGUAGACAAAUUAACCAGUGUUAGUAACCAGCUUAAUUUGGAUAGUACAUAUGACAAGAAUUCUGAAUGUCUUUGUUUUCCUGAUUCUCAACUCUCAGAUUGUAACUCUGUAUCUAUACAGAGGGAAGAUGCAUCAAAAUUAUGCUUUCAUUUGGUGAAAGGUAUUGAUGUCCAUUCAGGUGUUAUAGAACUUUGUUCUCCAUCUCUGGUGAUGAGUAGUACUGAAAAAAAAAGUGAUCUUAAAUCCACAAGGUGGGAAGUAGAUGGAAAAAAUAACUUACAUUAUGACUUGUAUUGUUAUGAAGAAGGUGUGGAUGUACUCCCUCCAAAAUAUGCUGCUAUUUCUGAAGAGAAGAGUUCCAAGAACAUUUCAGUAGAGGCCGCUCAGGAGGGCAAAAAUUCCUCUUCUUCUGCAGUCCUUAAACAAAAAGAUACAUUGCCUCUAAAGAGGGAUGACAAAGAUUAUAGAAGUCUGCCAGUCAGCUCUACAGAAACAUGUUUAGGUGGUAAGGGUUUUGAUAAAAAAUCUGUUAUAUCUUCUGAAGCAGGGAAAAACUUUCAUGUCACUAAAACUCCAUCUUGUGAGGACAUGACUUUUGGCUUUAGCAAAGUAAAGAGAGCUGAAACAGUAAGUCAAAAGAACAAUCUUCUUCUGGAAUCAUUAGAACUACAGAAGAUGGAAAAUAAAGGCAACCCUUUUGAGGGACCUGUUAUUUCGUCUGUAUUUUCUCUUAGCUCUGGGGCUGAAAACGUUCCAGAGGGUGUCAGAUGGGAUGACACAACAUGCAAUAAGAAGUCAGCAACAUUGCUGUGUCGAAAGAUUGCUCAGCUCAUGUCUGCUGCUGAAUCCAACAUGAGAUCCAUGCCUUUGAGAUGUCAAGCUUCUAGUAAAAAGUUGCUUUUCCCUCAAGAAAAUUCAGCAAGCUGUGAGGGAGUUGUUCCUGCCUCUGAAGUGGACCAGUCUGCAUCUUUGUCUCAAGUGCAUGGUGGAAGCAGUGUGAUUAGUAGUGAAGAAUACGGUAAAGAUCAGUUGCUUACAUUUGCAAGAACAUCUAAAAACAGGGUAACCAAAAAUUCCCAUGUUGCUACUCCAGUGUUUAUCCCCAAAGGGACAAUGCUGAGAGUACUGAAUGCUACUAGCAGUCAAAAAUCAAAUGGAAUAGAAAACAGGAGUGAAACACCAGCUCCUUCUAUGUAUCGCAAUGAAAUGUUUCUGCCUCGCCCAGUUCCUGUCAGUGUUUCUGAGACACUUAGCAGUAGUUCGCCAUGUUUGCCUAAUCAGAGUGAACCGAAUGCUCAGUCCCGAGGUGUGUCACUCCGGCAAAGACCAAAGCGAGAGGCAAGUGUUAAAAAUAAUAACAAACAAACUGGUGUACUGUUUCAGAAAAGCAGUGAUGUGAGUAAGCAAAGCAAACCCUACUCAAAAGGUCAACUAGGUCCCAAAACCAAGGUGAAACAAGCAAGCUUCAGGGAACUUCCGAAGAGGAAAACAAGAACUCAGUUGGAAGCUAGUUCAAGUUCUGACAUGUCUUAUCUAUUGACAGCAAGACGUCUUCGGCUUGUCCCUCUGAGAAUGAAUCAGUUGAUAAAAUGCCCUCGUCGUAACCAGCCAGUUGUGGUACUAAACCAUCCUGAUGUUGACUCGCCAGAGAUAAUUAAUGUCAUGAAGACUAUCAACAAGUAUAAAGGUCAAGUCCUGAAAGUUGUUCUCUCAGAAAGGACAAGUAGUUGUCUUGGUGUCAAACGUUAUCGAAAGCGUCUUACUCUUCAAAAUGUUGAGACAGGAAGCCAAGCAAAAAAGCAGAGUAUGCUAAAAAUGAAACUAAAAAAGACCCAUAAAAACAACUACCAGGUGGUGGAAACUUCACCAGCUGAAACACUUCAGUGUAUGUUUAAGUGUUGGUUUUGUGGAAGAGUAUAUAUGGACCAAGAAGAAUGGAUAAGUCAUGGACAGAGGCACUUGAUAGAGGCAACCAAGGGCUGGGAUGUUCUUUCUCUUCCAGCAAAAAAGCAUUAACUGAGAGACUAGGGUGCAUUUCCCCUCUUACUUUUAAUGAGUGCCACUAACUUGCUUGGAAAGUAAGAUUGAAAUAACUGCUUUAUUUUGCCAAAAGGUCUCUACUGUUAGCAAAGUGGGAGAGGAGAGCAGAGUUAUGGAGAUACAGAGAAGCUGAUAGUGAGUACUAAGCACUACUUUGCACUCUCAUGUUUGAAAUUUGUAUUGGAGGUCAACUUCAUCUGUUCUAGAGGAGAAAUUUGAAAAAAGAUUUGCUAUGCAAGCAUCUUUCUAGUUACCAUUCUCUGUGUUAGGAUACUGUGCUGUAACUGGUUUGUGCUAGGUCUGUGGAUUAAAAUCUUAGACGAUAAGAUCUUUGUAAAUUUAACAGGGUUUAGUUUGCUGUAUUACAGCAUGGUAUUUCAAAGGUUGAGCAUGCGUGUACUGAAAAGCACCUUUGAUCCUCUGUGGGCAGCAAGUAUAUAUCAUAGGUUUUAGUGGCAAAUUAAGCACCAUGCAUAAAAAGUAAAACCUGAAUAUGAGUACUCUGUUUCAGUGAAAAAAAAUACAUUUCUGCUGACUUCACAGGAGAUACAAGGGUGUGAAUGACAGAUGUGUGGGAUCAGAGUUACUCCCACUACUUCAGAUAGCACUAAAAAAUUUAAUUUUGUUUAGUACUUAAGUCUUUACCUAGCCUGUAUUGCAUAGAUGUGAGAAAGAAAGCAGAACACUGUUAGCUUUCUGCACCAUCUUUGUUCUGAGCAGGCAGAGCCAGAGAUAUCAUCAGGCUUGGACUGAUAGGAGGGAGAAGCUUUUCUCUGCAUGGUCUCAAGGCUGUUCUGAAAUCUAAGUAAGUAAUAGCCAAACAUAAACCCUUUAUCACUGUGUGUGUAGCCUGAUAGAAAAACAUUUGCAGAAUUGGGCAUUUGGUUAGAACUCUAGUUAGUGUGUCAAUACUUAUUUACAGGGAGAACUUGCUGCAGAUGAAGACUUUUCAAAAUGGAAAACCAUGUUGCACAGCGUUUACAUUGACAGUGUUGAACCAGAUUUUCAGUGCAAUCUUUCAUCCUUCUUAGGAAUUUAGAUGUUAUUUUUUGUAGGUCUCAAUUCGAACAAGCAUGUGCCUAGUUACAUAUGUACGUCUAAUGUGUAUUUACUGACUUCAGUGCGGUGUAAACGUUGCUCAGUUGCUUAAAAACUUCCCUAGAUCAGGGCCAAAUUUCAAGUUUUUAGUGAAGAGGGAUGUAUGAUACUGAAGUCUAAUGUUCCUGUACAUGAACAAUAGAUGUUUUUCUUCAUCUUGUCAAUUUUAAAUAAUUUUAAAAUCAUACAGAAUUAACUAUACUGAAGCACAUAUUUACAAUUAAAAUAAAUUAACAUUAAUUUUUACAGAUAAAAUCAAUACUGACUCUAAUGCUGGAUGUGUGUUCUAUGUUUGAACUGGGACUACUCUUGAAAAACUGGUAGUCCCUAACUCUUUUCACUGUUGGUGCAUUUUUGUAAACAGUUUAAGCUGGGAAUAUUUUUUAUAUAUACUCCAGCAGAUUAUACAUUGUUUUGAUAAAGUAUGUAUGGUAUCUGUAUUGAAAUGUAAAUAUUUUAAAACUACAUCUGACUGAGGCUUAUUUUCAAAACCAGUUAAAACAUCGCUUUCCAGUCAUUUUGCAAUACAGUGUUAAAAUAUUUCAGAUAGUUGGUGCUUUUAAUUCAGAUCUUUGUCAUCAUAUGCACAUGGAAAAUUUUUGUAUCAUUUGUAUUAGACUGACCUGUUCCACAGAACAAACUUCCUUUUGACUGUUUUGUCAAUAAUGAUGAAAUGACAGUUCUUAUUUUGUAUUCAAAUGGAGUUAUAUUUUUUUAGAUGGGUACACUAGAGGGUUUUUUCACUUCAUAUACUUUGAUGCCAAACGUAACAGUACUGUUUGCAUUUUCGAUUGUGAAAAUAGCUUCCAUUCUAAAAUUCUGGUAUAUCGCAUAUAAUAAAUACUGAAAUUGUUAACAUACGAAAAAACAUGGUUAAAAUUCCUCCUUUGUUUUUACCCCUUCAGUCCAGGUUAAUGUUUGAAUUAAUUUUUUUUCUGUAGAAGCUACAAAAUAAAUAGUUUUGAAUUUACUUCGUAAGAGUUGUCACUGGCAAAAUUAAAACAUUCCCCAUGAAAGCUGUACUGGGGGUGGCGGGGGAAUGCUGCUGCUCAGCAUUAUAAACUAGGUGGCUUAAGUAUACUACUAAUGCUUGUCUUUUGUAAGCAAGUUUACUGUUGCAGCAAACAUCUGCAAAGCUUUGUAUGUCAGUUCCAUAAUCUGCUAUUCAAAUUCUUAAGCAGUGUGUUCUUCAUGGGUUCAAUUUGAUUAAUUGGUGGUUUUUUUGUUUUGUUUUAACAUGAAAACCUUUUUUAAGUUAAAUUGUAUGGUGGGUAUGAAACUCUUAAAGCAGAUUGUCAUGCCUCUUCCUUUUUAUGAGCUCUGCCACACUCUACUUAGCAGCUUCUGGUUUGUUAAUUAUAAUUUUUAUUAUUAGAUAAUGACGUGUCAGAAUAACUUCCUUCAAGUUUAACGGUCUCAGUGGUUUGGGAGAAAUAAUUAUAAUAAAUCUUCCCUUGCAUUUUGAUGCAGCAUUGAGAAAUAGAAAGGGGCAUUGGGUUUGUGUGGCAAGGUUUUGGUAGUGGGGGGGACUACAGGGAUGGCUUCUGUGAG